rnacentral:rRNA from 1 species
GGAAUUUUACCGCAAUGGGCGAAAGCCUGACCGGAGCAAGACCGCGUGGGGGAUGAAGGCUACUUGGGUUGUAAACCCCUUUUCGCUCAGGGAAGAAGAACUGACGGUACCUGAGGAAAUAAGCAUCGGCUAACUCGCCGUGCCAGCAGCCGCGGUAAGACGGAGGAUGCAAAGCGUUAUCCGGAAUUCGAUUGGGCGUAAAGCGUUCGUAGGUGGCUGUUCAAGUACUGCCGUUAAAGACCGCGGGGCUUAACUCCGGAAAAACUGUGGAAACUGAACAAGCUAGAGUAUGGCGUAGGGGUAAGGGGAAUUCCUGGUGUAGCGGUGAAAUGCGAUAGAUAUCAGCGGAAGAACACCGGUGG